CCCUGAUUUAGCCCACUGCAGUAGAAGGUUACAGACCUCUGUGUGGCCCUGAUUUAGCCCACUGCAGUAGAAGGUUACAGACCUCUGUGUGGCCCUGAUUUAGCCCACUGCAGUAGAAGGUUACAGACCUCUGUGGGGCCCUGAUUUAGCCCACUGCAGUAGAAGGUUACAGACCUCUGUGUGGCCCUGAUUUAGCCCACUGCAGUAGAAGGUUACAGACCUCUGUGUGGCCCUGAUUU